GCCAGGUGUGGUGAUGCACACCUGUAAUCCCAGCAGCUUGGGAGGCUGAGGCAGGAGGAGGGCAAGUUCAGAGCCAGCCUCAG
rnacentral:sRNA from 1 species